rnacentral:rRNA from 1 species
CGCGCACACACCGCCCGUCACUCUCCCCGAACCAACAACCUAAAAUAUAUAAUACACUACACCGGUAAAGGGGAGGCAAGUCGUAACAUGGUAAGUGUACCGGAAGGUGCACUUGGAAAAAC